rnacentral:tRNA from 2 species
GCCGAGGUGGCGGAACCCGGUAACGCGCCAUCCUGGAAAGGUGGUCCCGCAAGGGAUUCCAGGUUCAAAUCCUGGCCUCGGCG